AAAACAACAGUUAGUGACAUCACCAACAACCUUCACAAGGCAGGGGUGAAGGUAUCAUAAGCCACCAUUUGAAGAAGAUUUCAAGUGUAUAAAUGUAUAGGCCAUACAAUAAGAUGCAAACCUCUCAUCAGCAGUAAGAACCAGAAAGCCAGAUAUGAUUUUGCAAAGAAAUACAGAGAUGAGCCAUUAAAGUUCUGGAACCAAAAUUAACCUCUUCCAAAGUGAUGGAGAAAGAAAGGAUCUGCUCAUGAUCUAAAACGUGCAAGCACAUCAGUCAAGCAUGGUGGAGAUAGUGUCAUGGCUUCUCUUUGCAUGGCUGCUUCUGGAAUGGGCUCACUAAUCUUUAUUGAUGAUGGUAGCAGAAGAAUGAGUUGAGGAAUCUAAAACUCUGUCUUCCAAUUUACAGAGAAAUGCAUCCAACCUAAUUGGGAGGAACUUCAUCAUGCAGCAAGAACAUACUCAAAACACACUGCCAACACAACAAAGGACUUCAUCAGGGGGUAAAAGUGGAAGAUUUUAGACUGACCAAGUCAGUCACCAGACCUCAAACCAGUUGAGCAGCAUUUCACCUCCUGAAGAUGAGAUUGAAGAGAGAAACCCCUCUAAAACAAACAAAAUCUGCAGUGCAAGCCUGGAAAAGCAACACAAUGUGUGUGUGUGUGUGUGUGUGUGUGUGUGUGUGUGUGUGUGUGUGUGUGUGUGUGUGUGUGUGUGUGUGUGAGAGAGAGAGAGAGAGUGUAGCCAAUCUACCCACCAGCAUGUUUUGGGAAGUAGGAGGAAACUGGAGCACACAGUGGAAACCCACAUAGACAUGGGGAGAAAAUGAGAAGCUCCACACAUUGUAACCAGAGAUCAGGAUGAAACCUGGGAUGCUGGAGCUGUGAGGUGACCGUGAGGUGACAACGCUGCCUGCUCACCACCAUGUUGCUCCUUUUAAAAAAUUUAAUAUACAAACUGGGAGCUAUAUACCAAUUAUAAUGUGCAAUUCCACAUUCACUUCCUAACAGAGUCUGAUGCUUGUGUUGUGUACUGAAGAACAAAGUGAUUCUGGCUUUAAGUUCCCACACAGGAAGUGACUGUAGCAAGGACGGAGUCAUUCUGUGUGCAUGUUGAGAAAAACAUCUGCCUACCCAAGUCAGUCUGAAGUCAUCAACAGGAUGGGGCUUGGCAAGUUUCCAAGCUGGUAAAAGCAGAGCCACAGAAUGAUGGUGUAACAGGUGACUGCUUGACUGCCUCACAAUAUGAUUGACGUCAUUCAUGGUAAUCUGGGGAAGCUUAUGUGAACAAAGCAAGCAGGAGCUGAAUGUGCCAAUCUCCAGCAAGUGCUGAUCCUUCGCUAUGAUUGAGUCAUUG
ensembl:lncRNA